UGGACAGAUUAUUGUAUUCAACUGUAUUCACAGCGUGGAACAGAGGAUUACACUGUUUUUAAACGGAAAGUGAAUCAAUUAACAUAAUAGACUCCU
rnacentral:pre_miRNA from 1 species